GCAGCAGCCGCGGUAAUACGUAGGGCGCAAGCGUUGUCCGGAAUUAUUGGGCGUAAAGAGCUCGUAGGCGGUCUGUCGCGUCUGGUGUGAAAUCCCGAGGCUCAACCUCGGGCUUGCAUCGGGUACGGGCAGACUAGAGUGCGGUAGGGGAGACUGGAAUUCCUGGUGUAGCGGUGGAAUGCGCAGAUAUCAGGAGGAACACCGAUGGCGAAGGCAGGUCUCUGGGCCGCAACUGACGCUGAGGAGCGAAAGCAUGGGGAGCGAACAGGAUUAGAGACCCGUGUAGUCCCUGUCUCUUAUAC
rnacentral:rRNA from 1 species